UGGGGAAUAUUGCGCAAUGGGCGAAAGCCUGACGCAGCGACGCCGCGUGAGGGAUGAAGGUCUUCGGAUCGUAAACCUCUGUCAGAAGGGAAAAUGUACAGUGCUCCAAUCAACAUUGUAUUGAUGGUACCUUCAGAGGAAGCACCGGCUAACUCCGUGCCAGCAGCCGCGGUAAUACGGAGGGUGCAAGCGUUAAUCGGAAUUACUGGGCGUAAAGCGCGCGUAGGUUGUUUUGUAAGUCAGAGGUGUAAAUCCCACGGCUUAACCGUGGAACUGCCUUUGAUACUGCAUAACUUGGAUCCGGGAGAGGACAGCGGAAUUCCAGGUGUAGGAGUGA
rnacentral:rRNA from 1 species